AACGAACGCUGGCGGCAUGCCUAACACAUGCAAGUCGAACGAGACCUUCGGGUCUAGUGGCGCACGGGUGCGUAACGCGUGGGAAUCUGCCCUUUGCUUCGGAAUAACAGUUAGAAAUGACUGCUAAUACCGGAUGAUGUCUUCGGACCAAAGAUUUAUCGGCAAAGGAUGAGCCCGCGUAGGAUUAGGUAGUUGGUGGGGUAAAGGCCUACCAAGCCGACGAUCCUUAGCUGGUCUGAGAGGAUGAUCAGCCACACUGGGACUGAGACACGGCCCAGACUCCUACGGGAGGCAGCAGUGGGGAAUAUUGGACAAUGGGCGAAAGCCUGAUCCAGCAAUGCCGCGUGAGUGAUGAAGGCCUUCGGGUCGUAAAGCUCUUUUACCAGGGAUGAUAAUGACAGUACCUGGAGAAUAAGCUCCGGCUAACUCCGUGCCAGCAGCCGCCGCAGUAA
rnacentral:rRNA from 1 species